GAUUGGCGGCGUGCUAUACAUGCAGUCGAACGCACAGCGAAAGGUGCUUGCACCUUUCAAGUGAGUGGCGAACGGGUGAGUAACACGUGGACAACCUGCCUCAAGGCUGGGGAUAACAUUUGGAAACAGAUGCUAAUACCGAAUAAAACUCAGUGUCGCAUGACACAAAGUUAAAAGGCGCUUUGGCGUCACCUAGAGAUGGAUCCGCGGUGCAUUAGUUAGUUGGUGGGGUAAAGGCCUACCAAGACAAUGAUGCAUAGCCGAGUUGAGAGACUGAUCGGCCACAUUGGGACUGAGACACGGCCCAAACUCCUACGGGAGGCUGCAGUAGGGAAUCUUCCACAAUGGGCGAAAGCCUGAUGGAGCAACGCCGCGUGUGUGAUGAAGGCUUUCGGGUCGUAAAGCACUGUUGUAUGGGAAGAACAGCUAGAAUAGGGAAUGAUUUUAGUUUGACGGUACCAUACCAGAAAGGGACGGCUAAAUACGUGCCAGCAGCCGCGGUAAUACGUAUGUCCCGAGCGUUAUCCGGAUUUAUUGGGCGUAAAGCGAGCGCAGACGGUUAAUUAAGUCUGAUGUGAAAGCCCGGAGCUCAACUCCGGAAUGGCAUUGGAAACUGGUUAACUUGAGUGCAGUAGAGGUAAGUGGAACUCCAUGUGUAGCGGUGGAAUGCGUAGAUAUAUGGAAGAACACCAGUGGCGAAGGCGGCUUACUGGACUGUAACUGACGUUGAGGCUCGAAAGUGUGGGUAGCAAACAGGAUUAGAUACCCUGGUAGUCCACACCGUAAACGAUGAACACUAGUGUUAGGAGGUUUCCGCCUCUUAGUGCCGAAGCUAACGCAUUAAGUGUUCCGGCUGGGGAGUACGACCGCAAGGUUGAAACUCAAAGGAAUUGACGGGGACCCGCACAAGCGGUGGAGCAUGUGGUGUUAUUCGAAGCAACGCGAAGAACUUACCAGGUCUUGACAUCCUUUGAGCUUUAGAAGAUAGAAGUGUCUUCUUCGGAGACAAAGUGACAGGUGGGUGCAUGUCCGUCGUCCAGCUCUUGUCGUGAGAAUGUGGGUAGUCCCGCCACGAGGCGCCACCCUUAUUGUAGUGGCCAGCAUUCGAUGGCAUCUAGCGAGACUGCCGGUGACAAACGGAGAGGCGGAACAGACGUCGAUAUCACAUGCUUAGACUUGCUACACGUCUUGAUUGACUAACACAGGUGCCACCGAGGGUACAUCUCACUCAUUCGAAUGUGAACUCGCCACUCCAUGAGUCGGAAUAUCUGUGAUAUCGGGGAUUA
rnacentral:rRNA from 1 species